rnacentral:lncRNA from 10 species
GUUCUGUUAGUUCUACAGCAUGUAGUUACUGAACGCUCACCACGUGUCAGACUCUGUAUUAGAGCCGGAGACACGGCAGAGAACAAGACAGACCUAGGCCCUGUCCUCACGGAGGUGACCUUCUGGUGGGGAAGACUGUUUCCAAAUGAGCACACAAGUCAUUUCAGGCUGCAGCGACUGCAGUGUUGUUGACAGAGCAAGGUGAGAGAUGGAGAAUGACUAUUGUGGGGUGUGGGGCAACAUUGGCUGGAGGGGUGAAGGAGGGCUUCUUGGAGGAGGGGACAUGGGGUUGAGCCGCAUGGAUAGAUCCAGCCCCGUGAGGACCUGGCAGAGGGAGUGGCAAGAAUUUGCUCCCUGACUUGGGGGUGGGCUUGGAUGAUCAAAGACCAGAGAAUGCAGAGCACAGAGCGAGGGGAAGCUGGGAGAAGAGGAGAGGGGCAGGGGCCAGGUGCAGCAGGGCCGAGGGGCUGACAAUAAGGAGCUGGGGCUUAUUCUGCAAGGGACAAGGAGUCCAUGUGUGCCUGCCAGGUCAGUGGACAACGAGUGGGCUGGGGAGCCCAGGCUGGAGGCUAUGGAAGUCAUUCUGGAAAUGACUAAGGUUUGCAGCGGUGGAAGUCCCAGAGAACAGGAGGGAUUUGGGAUGAACUUUGGAGGA